rnacentral:misc_RNA from 1 species
UGGCUCUCCCAUCGAUGAAGAACGCAGCGAAAUGCGAUAAGUAAUGUGAAUUGCAGAAUUCAGUGAAUCAUCGAAUCUUUGAACGCACCUUGCGCCCUCUGGUAUUCCGGAGGGCAUGCUUGUUUGAGUGUCAUUAAAUUCUCAAAGAAAAGCUACUUUGGUGGCUUUUCUUUGGAUGUGAGGGCUUUUGCUGGCUUUCGGGUCUGCUCCCUUUAAAUGCAUUAGUGGGAUUCCUUUGUGGAACGGUCACUUGGUGUGAUAAUCUAUCUACGCCGCUUUGACUUGACUCGGAAGCAAAACCUAUGGGAUUCUGCUCAACAAUUGUUCCUAAGAACAAUCUUAAUGACCAUUUGACCUCAAAUCAAGUAGGACUACCCGCUGA